ACGUAUAUGUAUAUUUUUAAACAGGACUAGAUCGAUCUAUUCCUAACAGGAAAGUGACUUUAUUGAGUAAACGUACAAAACAAUGCGCAUGUGCGUAUUGUAUACAAAUAUAUCGCUAGAUUAUCAUACGCUAAUAAGGCAAUAGAAUGAUAAGGCUGUUAUCCAGAUGGACCACACCAUUCGUCCGGAUUCGAACACGGUCUGUCAAAGUGGUAGGCUGUCAUCAAUCUCAUAACGAUUCUGGCAGUGAUGUUUUAAGGUUGCUCAAAUUAGUAUUCAAGCAUAGAUUCGUAAGCUCUUUUUAGAUAAGUUUGCAUGUUAUAAAAUACAUUAUACGUUUAUUGACAUUAUACAAUGUUAGUUCUAGUAAGUGCCGAUUUCUGAAUACUACACAAAGACGAGUAUCGACGUUUAAAUGUCCGAGGUACUUUUAAAACUUGAGUUUAGCGUUUAGACAGACAAUUCUAGUUUAGUUUAGGUUAAAACCGUCACAAGAAUUUUGUAUAAAAAUUUUAAAAUAUGGAAAAAAUUGAAGUACUGAAUCAUUUUUGUUCUAUUAUUAAUAUUAUUCGUCACAUUAAUAAUUAAUCUUUUAUCAUAGAACACAAUUUUUAUUAAUAUAAUACGAAAGAUUCCAUUUACAUUAAUCUCUAGAGGAGCACUUUAAAGUAAUUUAUUUAUUUAACUGAUGAACGUAAUAAAUUGCUCUUUUAAAGACGUUUUAUUAUGUUUAAAUAUAAUUUAUUCUUCCACUUAAUAAUUAUUUUAUAGUUUAUUUUGGGAAUAAUCCUAUAGAGAAUCUUAUUAGUUUAUCUAUAUUUUCUCUAUAAAUAAGAUAAUAAUAUACUGUAUUAUAUUAUAUCAUCUUAUGUGCUCAUCGUAAGAUAGAUGAGGUUAAAGUUUAAUUUUUUCAUAUGCUUAAGUUUUAUAAAAUCAAAAAUUUAUAUGUACAGCUAUAAGCUAUAUAUUAUUUACUAAAUUCAAAAAAUUAUUAGUCCAGUAUUUAAUGAAUCAUUCACACGAGAAGCAUUUCCAAUCAUUCUUUGUCACGUGAGUUAUAAUCCCCAGAACAUCGUAACGACGAAUAUAGUAUAUUGAUAGUAAAUGAGUCACAAUAAUUUAUUUUAUUAGACAUGGGAAAUUUUUAUGGAUGUUUCUUUAUUUAUGCUUUUCCAAGUAAGCUAAUGGACCAGAGAUGUCAGUUGACCUCCACAAUACCCGGCUCACGAGUAAGAAAUUGCCAUGGCCCGAUGCUGGCUUCAGUUUCAUUAAACAUUGAAAUUUGAUAUUUGACAGUUAUUAUUUUCCUUGGAAUCGAAAUCAAAAAUUAAAACAUGGAAGAAAAGAUGGCUCCUGGAGUAACUUACAUAGAGAACUCAAGUGAUAUUCACAUUGGAAACAGAUAUCACUGGUUAGAAAUUAAUAACACUGUACGCAAUUAUAAUAGACAGAGUAGUGAAGAAGUUGAAGAAGAUGAUGAUGAUAAUAGCAUAGCCCCAAUAUCUCUUCUAGAAGAAUUGAUCGAAUCCAACGAAAAAUAGGGGACGUCGAAUAUUACGUAGUUGCAAAGAGAAUAUACGGCAAAUGGAAAGAAUUGGCACGUUUUCUGCCGCCAAGAAAUGUAUUUACGGAAGGAGAAUUAACAAUACUGCAAAGUGAUAA